GAGAAAAUAUCAUAUAAUCAUUAUCAUAUUAGCAUCAUCAUAUUAGCAUCAGUGGCUCACUUCCAGAUUCCAGAUAUACAGUGGUCCCUCAGUAUCUACAGAAGUUUGGUUCCAGGAUCUACCCAAAAGAAAACCUGUUCAAAUCCCUUUUAUCAAGCACUAUAUUUGCAUAUAACUUACUCAGAUCUAUAGCAUCAUCCCUAGAUUAGUUAUAAUAACUAAUGCAAUGUAAUGUUAUAUAAGUAAUCAUUAUACUAUAUUGUGUAGAGAAAAAUGACAAGAAAAAAAUGUUCACUUUCAGUGUAGAGGCAUUUAAAAAUAGUUUUAAUCCACAAUUGGAUGAAUCUGUGGGCAUGAAAUACAUGGACACAGAGACUUAGUACCAUUACCUUUCUCCCAUGGAGUAUAAGCUUCCUGGGUAGUAGAUGAUGAGGGAGGAGGGGGAGGAGGGAACCUAGAAGAAAAUUAUCUCUGAAAAUGAUGCAACCUACUCAGUUAAAAUAAAUAUGUAGAUUAGAGGUCUUUGUGUUAUUUCUUUCCACAAACUAAUUUAUUUUAAAAAUAAAUGUAUCUACUCUUUUCAACUUGCUUCUUCAUUAGCUCAUAACUAAUGAAAACAUCCCAUGUGAGCUGGAAAUUCAUAUAUUAAUUUAAAAUUUUAAUUUUUAUUGUCUUAACACCAUUUAUCACUUAGAAAUACUAAAUGUGUGAAUUAUAAGGAAAGAAAAAUGAGUAUACACAAAGUGUAUACACCAAUAUGAGAACACAGUAAAUACAGAGGAUAUUUUUUCUAUAUAUGGUCUAACAUAUAGGUAAGGACAAUAUUAACUAGUUAAUUUGAGAUUUAAAUUAGAUAAUAGAACAAGAUGCCAUGGUUUACUAUACAGUCCACUGUCAACAUCAGGUGAACUGAUGAACUCUAUAAUUAAGAUUCAAAUAACCCAAAUUAUAUGAAUUGAGAUCCUCCUCAUUGUAUUUUUUGUGCUUAAUCUUCUCAGUUUGGCUGUCACAGGACUGACAUGAGUGGACUGAACUUCAGCUGCCAACCCAAAACAAUGACCAGCAAAUCUUUCAUUUUGUAAUAAUUCAUCUGACUAAGAGCAAAUGUUCUGACUAGAGGCCAUUAGUAAAUAAAACUGGGUUUGAAUUUCACAAGCAUUUUUGAGUUUCAGAAGAUUUUUAUUUCACACUAAAAAGCCAAACUCAAACUUUUCAUGCAACAAAAUAAAUAGGCUAAACCCAAACAACUACACAAUAAGUCUUUGUAGAAUGAAAUGGAAAAAAACAAGCAACCACCUAUGAAAUUGAUGCAAAUAAUAAUUUAAAUCAACUAACCAGCCUUUAUUUUCAACUUUCAGCAAUACAAGUUGAACAUAUGGGAACAGAAAAGGCUUGGAUAUGAAAAACUAAGUAUUUCAGAUAAAUUCUACAUUCAAGCCAAUAGCCAUCCAGACUGAGAUUGUUGCUACAUUAUCCCUUCCCUUUUCAACAGCAUGCUAUUUGGACUAACGAAGGGAUAAUGUUUUUGCUAACUAAUUUCUUUCUAACAUCAAUCACCAAGAUUUUACAAAUGCUGUCCCAUUCUUGCCCAGAUACUCUCCAACCAUGAUCAAUUAAAUAUCAAAUCAUUCAAUCAAAAGGAGAACUUCAAGGCUGACAAAGGUAUUGUCAAAUAUAGUGCUGCUCAGCUAAGCCUCUCAUAUACCCACUCUGGGUUUGCUCAGAAAAAAACCAAUAUAGGAAAAUACAGGAAAUGUUCAGGUACAAAAUACAUGAUGUCCUAUGAGUAUUUGUAUUUCUCUGUGUGUGUGUGUGUGUGUGUGUGUGUGUGUGUGUGUGUUGUUACAACUACUCAUUUCCCAAGAAGAAAAGACAAUGAAAGCACUGGCCUCCAGUACCUGUAAAGUCCUUUUGCUCCCUAAAGUGGUCUCUUACCCAGCUGUUUGUUGCUCCAUCUCAAUAAGGUCUCCAACCAGGAACCUUACAGUGUUUCCAACCUGUUAGCCUUUAGUUCACAGAGACCAACAAGCUUCAAACAAAGAGUGACAUGUUCUUGUAGCAUAAGAUAGAGGUCCCACUACCAUUCACUGAGAAAAUUAUUCAGCCUCUAGAGUUGCUAGGUUUUCUUGCGUCCAAAAGCUGGGCCCUUCAGUUCAAGCUGAUGCCCCUCUACCUCCCAGAGUGCCUUCUACACUAGCCCAUCAAUAGGAGUGCCUGUGAUAACCUGUAACAUUUGCAUCCCUACAACUAACACCAUAGAAGCAUAGCUAAGCUUCUGCUGCCUGUGAAUCUCUUUGUAUAUUUCCUAAGACAAAGACAUCCCCCUUAUUCUAUUUCUCCUAUACUACUUGUCAAGACAUUUUCUACAGUGAUCAUGUAAGAAGCCCAUAUCAUGAGUUACCUGUGGCCUCCUCAGCUCCAUUUUCAGGGAAAGCCACAUGUCUGAGGUCAUAAGCCAUGUAAUUAAGUGCCAGCUUCCCAGUCUAAAAACCACCAGGAGAGUAGGCGUGGUUGGUUUGGCGCCCCCACAGGCAAGAUGGAAGCAUACGCCAGAAAAUAAGGAAAAGAACCACACUGCUGCUGGCUUGAACUUCCCCUGGAAUCAGUAAAUUUUGACCACUUAGGACCAGCCAUGCUAUUUGUAACUGUCAGAGGAAGGCAAAUCUGUAAUUGUUAAGGGGGAUGAGGCCUGUGCAAAUUCUUUCCUGUGCCAAGUGAACAGUCAAUCACUUUUAUAAGGACAGCAACAACUGAAACUAUCCAUUCGUAUACUUUCCUUUAGUCAACAAUAUCACCUUUAGUAAUCUGGGGAAUGUGCAUCCAUAAAUUACAGCAAGUGUUAUUGCAUUGCUGAAUAAACAGCAACAUUUCCAUCAGCGGCAGCAGUGGCAGCCCCACAAAGGUAUAACAAACAGGCUCAAUCAUUUCCUUGUCAAGCUUUGCAAUGACUGCAGAGUUUACUGCUGGAGGUAAUGUUGCUUUCCUCAGCAUUGUGUGCCAAACUGCUUAUUAAAACAAAACCUCUUUUUCAGAGCAGCAUGAGUUGGAUAAUCACUUAUUGCACUCAAGAAAAAAAAAAAAAGCAGGUUUGGUGCCCAGAGGAGGUUAACAAUCAGGCAUAUGUGUUAACAUUCGGUUGGUAAAGACUGGUUCAAAAAUAAAUUAUCCAACAUUGGAGUUGGGGAGUGAAGGAGUUGACUUAUUAAUGCUGAUGCCCACAGGUUGACUAUUUUUCCUAUGACAUCAUUCUGUUUUUUGACAAUGUGUUCCCCAGUAAUGACCUGGCAAGAGUGGCUAUUCAGGAGGAGGGAACGAGCUAGGGAAGAUUAUGAAAGGAAAUCAGAAAUGAAAUACAGCCUGUGAGUCUCCAUGCAAAGAAAUCUCUGAAAGAAAGUAGAUUUCAGGGGUGGGAGAGAAGCCAAAAGAAAAAGACAGGAGGGAAGUGAAUGAACUUUAAGAACUAGGCAUUUGUGACUAAACUGUUUCUGAAGACAGCACCUAUUAUUACUCUUCGAAGAAAUCGCUUGACAUAACUAAGCCAGCAAUAGCACUGAAAAAACCAGCCUCAAUUUUCCUCUCUUGAAAGAGAUUGAUAGCUAUUUUUCCUGAGCCUGAGGAACAGGUAGGUUGAGAUGGAGCCUGGGAGGCCCAUCCUGUCAGGAACACAGCUUGGAGAGGAAAACCAUUACUCCUGAUUAUGGAAGAGGUGCCCCAAUACUUUUUUUCAUGACUUUGUUUUUUUUUUUUUCCUUUCAUAUCUGUUAUAGAUGGAUUAAUGUUGAAGUAGGGAGACCCUCUUCCCUCAACCCCCUCCUCCACUGUGUCAAUGGCACCAAUAGCCGUGUGGUCUCAGAUAGCAGCUAUGAAAAAGUAAAGCCUAUACUUUGGAUGUCCCUAUCACAACAGGAAAUGAGACUUUGAAGACUUUAUUAUAACUUUGGGGAACAUAUGAGGUUUGACUCCUAUAACUGCUGUAAAAUGAGAAAUAAAGAAAAAUGAAAGAAAGGUACCGCAAGAAUAUGGUCAAAAUACUUUAUAUCCAGGUAUGAAAAUGGAACAAGGA